UUGUGGUACAUAUAGUUUUCUAUACUGUGCUAGUUGCGUUUAUCUUUUGAUAUUAGUCCAAACCAGAACACAUAUAAUAAUUUAACGAAUACUAAGCAAGAUUAAUUAUCUUAUUGUGUCAAGUAACUAUGCCUAUUACAGUCAGAUUUGUAUAAAUGAGUUGUUUAUUUAGCUUAAAAUUCACUACAAGUACCAUGAUGCGUUUUGGUUUUGCACAAAUCAACCUACUUUAUUUAAUUAUUCAUUUACCUGAAUAUGUUUUACAUUUAUACACUUCUAGAACAGAGUAUGUGCAAUACAAGUGUGUGUUAACGAAUCUCUAACGUUGCUGUGUCAAAAGAUUAACGGUACAUGCAUGAAGAGACAGCAACAUAUAAGAAGUCAUUAUAUGUUGACAACAUUAGCUAGUAUUAGCCACUAGCUAGCUAAAUUGUAAGUCUUCCCAAAUUCGAUAAUCAUUUUGUUGUAAUCAAUGUCAAUAUAUAUUUUAUUUGGCUUUACUGCUAUUAGCCCAUACAAACGCAUUGAAUAAUAGGUUCACCACAUGGAACAACAGCUAGUCCCCCCCAGAAAUAUCUAAUGUAAAUUAUUCUUUCCAUAAUAGUUUGUAGGCCAAACCGUUGGGACGCUACAGACGAUUUUGUGAGAAAACCGAUUUUCGGGAUCUCUCAUGGCCUGUCAAACACCGCUCUACCGCGGUCACCUUUCACCGCAGAUGCGACAUUGGUGGAUUGAGAACAGAUCUCUAGUUUAAAUGAACGGAUUUUGAUGGGGAUUUUGUAUUAUGCUAAUUGGAUUUUCGCAGGGGCGCGGACAUCGAGGUGUAUGUACACUAGAAAGCGGUAAAUUGCCGAGUGCCGUUUAGGCCGCGCGUUGUGACUCGCUUGUGGGCUGCUGGCAGCAUAUGGCAGCCUUCUCGAUUGUGAGUCAAGAAUUCAGCAUAGCAAGUUCGUAUGAAGGUCUUGUUAUUAAAUGGGUACAUAGUUCAAUAGUAACAUCCUCUAAAACGCUCUGGUGACAAACAAACUUUGCUGCCCUGUUUCCAAUUGUUCACAUGGCUGGGAUAACCUAUUCAAGUUAUACCAGCUGUGUCAGUGAACCCCUCCCACAUCUGAACUGGCUACAUAUAGGGCACAGCAUGAUCAGUGCUGAGAGGUCACUUGGUCAGGUCAACAGAAAGUAUUAUUAAAGAGAUGCUUUACACUGAGAUGCAGUAGUCCCAGAGUUAAUGAUCCAAGAUAUGUUUUGAUGUGAGAGAGGAUGCCAACCCCCCAGUCCCAUCAUCGCCACCUCACCCGCUUUUAAGAUAACCUUCGGGCAGAUGAGACACUAUUAUGUAAUUGUGAUGAACUGAGAGAAUAUUUGGGUAGCACUGUGAUUCAUUAAUCAUAUUCUGCCUUCCCUGUUCCUAUGUUCUUACCUCUUUCCCUUUCUGUCUUUUACACCUCUCUCGCCACCACCUCUUUCUUCCUCUGUUUUUAUAAUGCACAACAGAUGUGCAGUGAAGUACAGAUUGAACUUGUAUUUAUAAUAUUUAUAAUGCAUGUAUUUAUAACACUUGGAUAAUGA